GACGAACGCUGGCGGCGUGCCUAAUACAUGCAAGUCGAACGAACUCUGGUAUUGAUUGGUGCUUGCAUCAUGAUUUACAUUUGAGUGAGUGGCGAACUGGUGAGUAACACGUGGGAAACCUGCCCAGAAGCGGGGGAUAACACCUGGAAACAGAUGCUAAUACCGCAUAACAACUUGGACCGCAUGGUCCGAGCUUGAAAGAUGGCUUCAGCUAUCACUUUUGGAUGGUCCCGCGGCGUAUUAGCUAGAUGGUGGGGUAACGGCUCACCAUGGCAAUGAUACGUAGCCGACCUGAGAGGGUAAUCGGCCACAUUGGGACUGAGACACGGCCCAAACUCCUACGGGAGGCAGCAGUAGGGAAUCUUCCACAAUGGACGAAAGUCUGAUGGAGCAACGCCGCGUGAGUGAAGAAGGUUUUCGGAUCGUAAAACUCUGUUGUUAGAGAAGAACAAGGAUGAGAGUAACUGUUCAUCCCUUGACGGUAUCUAACCAGAAAGCCACGGCUAACUACGUGCCAGCAGCCGCGGUAAUACGUAGGUGGCAAGCGUUGUCCGGAUUUAUUGGGCGUAAAGCGAGCGCAGGCGGUUUCUUAAGUCUGAUGUGAAAGCCCCCGGCUCAACCGGGGAGGGUCAUUGGAAAACUGGGAGACUUGAGUGCAGAAGAGGAGAGUGGAAUUC
rnacentral:rRNA from 1 species